AUACUUACGUGCUAAAUAACACUUCAUUUUAAUUAAUAUUAAUCAAACAAUACAAAAUUACUACUGAAAACUGAACAUUUAUUGACAAAAAACAAAAGACAACUUUGAAUAUCUAUAGUAGCGCCAGUGAUCUGUACAAUCGUCCCAGAAAAAGAAUUACACCAGGUACACUCGUUUUCAUAAAUGCUGGAGCCCCUAAAUAUAGUAUAAUAUAGGUAAUUGAUUAUAAUAUAACUAUACUUAUGGGAGUCCAGCAUUUAUGAAAGUGAGUGUACUAGAAUAGGCAUUUGAUGUUAUCGCUGGGGUUAAUAAGAAGCGGUAAGAGUAAAUGUAAAAACGUAUAAAAUAAAAGAAGCGCGCAACCAUUACUUAUUGUUGCUCUUUCGUCCUAAUAUAAACAUUAACUAUCUCUAUUGUUUAUUGUUUUAUCCUUUUUAUCAGCGACAAUGGCUGCUGCUACGCUUAAUAACGAAAUUAGUAUUAUCUUGGCUUCUUAUAAUUCUGGUAGUCGACGAUAUGUAUUUUAUUUCCAAAUAGAUGAUCAACCUGCAUAUCGAGUAGAAAAUCUAGAUUUUCAAACCUACUUGAAAAUUAUAAUUUUUAUAAACAUGAUAAUAAUGAAGCCUUUGCAUUCAUCAUAAGAUUAAUUGAGCUUC